rnacentral:rRNA from 1 species
CAGUAGCCACGGUAAUACGAAGGGGGCUAGCGUUGCUCGGAAUGACUGGGCGUAAAGGGCGCGUAGGCGGUUUAUACAGUCAGAUGUGAAAUUCCUGGGCUCAACCUGGGGACUGCAUUUGAUACGUAUGGACUUGAGUGGAGAAGAGGGUUGUGGAAUUUCCAGUGUAGAGGUGAAAUUCGUAGAUAUUCGGAAGAACACCAGUGGCGAAGGCGGCUCACUGGACACGUAUUGACGCAGAGGUACGAAAGCGUGGGGAGCAAACAGGAUUAGAGACCCCUGUAGUCCCUGUCUCUUAUAC